rnacentral:snRNA from 1 species
GGAUGUGAGGGUGAUCUGGCUGCGACAUCUGUCACCACAUGGAUCACCAGGCUUGAUUCGGCUGAUCUGGCUGGCUAGGUGGGUGUCCCCUUCCUGUCUCACUGCUCCAUGUGUGCCCCUCCCACAGCUGUACACUAGGUUAAAGAGAACGACCUUCCCCGAGUAGAGAUGGACACGUCGAGGGUAUAUGAGUAGCUGCGUUCCCCUGCUAGGAACUCCAAACAAGCUCUCAAGGUCCAUAGUUAGAUAGCUGCCACUACACACACACACACAU